UCGAGAAUUUUUCACAAUGGGGGAAACCCUGAUGGAGCGACGCCGCGUGGAGGACGAAGGCCUUCGGGUUGUAAACUCCUGUCAUGCGGGAACAAGAAAGUGAUAGUACCGCAAGAGGAAGGGACGGCUAACUCUGUGCCAGCAGCCGCGGUAAUACAGAGGUCUCAAGCGUUGUUCGGAUUCAUUGGGCGUAAAGAGCUCGUAGGCGGUUUGUCGCGUCUGCUGUGAAAAUCCGAGGCUCAACCUCGG
rnacentral:rRNA from 1 species